GGGCCCGCACAAGCGGUGGAGUAUGUGGUUUAAUUCGAUGCAACGCGAAGAACCUUACCAGGGUUUGACAUCCUGCGAAUCUCUUGGAAACAGGAGAGUGCCUUCGGGAGCGCAGUGACAGGUGGUGCAUGGCUGUCGUCAGCUCGUGUCGUGAGAUGUUGGGUUAAGUCCCGCAACGAGCGCAACCCACGUCUUUAGUUGCCAGCAUUUAGUUGGGCACUCUAGAGAGACUGCCGGUGCUAAGCCGGAGGAAGGCGGGGAUGACGUCAAGUCCUCAUGGCCCUUACACGCGGGGCUACACACGUGCUACAAUGGCAGUGACAAUGGGAUAAUCCCAAAAAGCUGUCUCAGUUCAGAUUGUCCUCUGCAACUCGAGGGCAUGAAGUUGGAAUCGCUAGUAAUCG
rnacentral:rRNA from 1 species